ensembl:lncRNA
GCGCUGUAAAGGAAGAACUCUCUAACUACACAUUCAAGAACUUCUCCUUAUUUCUCUUGGAUACCUGCAUGUCAAAGCUCCAGGAAUGCAGCAGAGCGCAAAAGGGUAGGGUGGAGAACACUGCCUUUUUGCAGUGGUAUUGGUCUCGGUUUGUGUCCAUCUCUCCCCUUCCUCAGGACUCCAUUACUUUCCACUGAGAAUCUUCAUUCACAGAUGACCGAGUUUUGAAACAGUGGAAUUCGAGUAUGAUAGCUAAGGAGAUGGAGAAAACACCAGUCUGGAUUACAUUGUCAAACUAAGGCAACCAUGCAUGGCAUCAGACAGGAGACGCGUCUAACCACGAUGUAUACUGGCAACCUCAGCGUGAAGAGAUCCAGAAGGCAGCGGCCCACACUGCAGGAAAAAUGCCCCAAUGUGACCAUCAAUGAGGAGGCAUUGUGUGACAAGGUCACUGGCCUGCAAGUGUUCCUGAUGGCUUGAAGAAUGGAAAACAUCU